CCUACGGGGGGCAGCAGUGGGGAAUAUUGGACAAUGGGGGGAACCCUGAUCCAGCCAUGCCGCGUGUGUGAAGAAGGCCCUCGGGUUGUAAAGCACUUUCAGUGAGGAAGAACGCCUGGUGGUUAAUACCCAUCAGGAAAGACAUCACUCACAGAAGAAGCACCGGCUAACUCCGUGCCAGCAGCCGCAGGUAAUACGGAGGGUGCGAGCGUUAAUCGGAAUUACUGGGCGUAAAGCGCGCGUAGGUGGCUUGAUAAGCCGGUUGUGAAAGCCCCGGGCUCAACCUGGGAACGGCAUCCGGAACUGUCAAGCUAGAGUGCAGGAGAGGAAGGUAGAAUUCCCGGUGUAGCGGUGAAAUGCGUAGAGAUCGGGAGGAAUACCAGUGGCGAAGGCGGCCUUCUGGACUGACACUGACACUGAGGUGCGAAAGCGUGGGUAGCAAACAGGAUUAGAUACCCCGGUAGUC
rnacentral:rRNA from 1 species